UACAGAGACUGCAAACGUUAUUCGGAUUCACUGGGCGUAAAGGGUGCGCAGGCGGCCGUGUGUGUGAGGCGUGAAAGCCCGAUGCUUAACAUCGGAAUUGCACCUCAAACUACACGGCUAGAGCAUUGGAGAGGGUAGCGGAAUUCACGGUGUAGCAGUGAAAUGCGUAGAUAUCGUGAGGAACACCAGAGGCGAAGGCGGCUACCUGGACAAUUGCUGACGCUCAGGCACGAAAGCGUGGGGAGCAAAAGGG
rnacentral:rRNA from 1 species